AUUAGCCAGUUCUUCACCUUUCUUAGCCAAGUCUUCUUGGGUGAAGUGUCCUUUCCUCCCCCUUGACUUUGAACUUCAUCAUAUGACCAAGUGUCCUUUCCUCCCCCUUGACUUUGAACUUCAUCAUAUGACCUGCUUUAACCAAUGGAAACCUAGUAGAUGGGAUACCAAUAGAAGCUUAGAAAUGUGUUUUCACAGUAGGGCUUGCUGUCUCAUGCCUCUAGAAUCCCCCUGAGAAGAACAUGCCCCAGCAACCUAUUCCAAGGAAGGAGCUACAUGAGGCAGAACCGCCCCAGCCAGCCUGAUGAACAUCGGCAGACGCCAUGGCAUCGUGAACCGAGGGAAGGUCAACGGGAGAGAGGAUCUGAAUGCAGACCCUCAAAGAAAUAAUAUGUCAACAAGAUACCAACAUCGUCAUCACCAUCACUUCAACAAUUUUGCGUUGAAGAAGUGUGUUCCUGGGAGACCCUGAUUUGUAUAGAUGGCAGCCCCUCACAUGCGUGUGAGGCUGCACGGUCACUAGAGUGUCUCCAGGAGGAAGAGGGUGGUGAACAGAGACCAUGAAGACUGAUUCAGAAACUCUCCAAGAGGAGCAGGUGAUGUCUGAGCCAUCCCUGUGCCACCAGCAAGAAUCGCCUCAGCUCCUGGAAAAACCCUUAGGAGCUGCCUCCAAUUAAAGUCCUUAGUUGCAUCGUA